rnacentral:rRNA from 1 species
CGCGUGAGAAUCUACCUUUAGGAAGGGAAUAACAAUUAGAAAUGAUUGCUAAUGCCCUAUAUGCUUCCGAGUGAAAAGAGAAAUCUGCCUAUUGAAGAGCUCGCGUCUGAUUAGCUAGUUGGUAAGGUAAUGGCUUACCAAGGCGACGAUCAGUAACUGGUUUUAGAGGAUGAUCAGUCACACUGGAACUGAGACACGGUCCAGACUCCUACGGGAGGCAGCAGUGGGGAAUUUUCCGCAAUGGGCGCAAGCCUGACGGAGCAAUACCGCGUGAGGGAAGAAUGCCCAAGGGUUGUAAAC